rnacentral:rRNA from 1 species
UACGUAGGGGGCAAGCGUUGUCCGGAUUUAUUGGGCGUAAAGCGCGCGUAGGCGGCAAGGUGUGUCGUGCGUGAAAUCUCCCGGCUUAACUGGGAGGGGCCGUGCGAAACUGCCUGGCUUGAGGUCGGAAGGGGAAAGUGGAAUUCCGGGUGUAGUGGUGGAAUACGUAGAUAUCAGGAAGAACACCGGUGGCGAAAGCGCUCUGCUGGACCUUAACUGACACUGAGGGACGAAAGCUAGGGGAGCGAAUGGG